UACGUAGGGUGCGAGCGUUGUCCGGAAUUACUGGGCGUAAAGAGCUCGUAGGUGGUUUGUCGCGUUGUUCGUGAAAACUCACAGCUCAACUGUGGGCGUGCGGGCGAUACGGGCAGACUAGAGUACUGCAGGGGAGACUGGAAUUCCUGGUGUAGCGGUGGAAUGCGCAGAUAUCAGGAGGAACACCGGUGGCGAAGGCGGGUCUCUGGGACGUUACUGACGCUGAGACGCGAAAGCGUGGGGAGCAAACAGG
rnacentral:rRNA from 1 species